CAAAAUAUAAAGAGAGAGCAAGAGCAUGAUCUUGAUCUGAACACCAAGAUGCCUAAAUACAUGGCAAAUGCCUCCUUUUAUAGGCCAAAAUUCGGGACUAUUGAUUUGUUGACUAAUUGAUGAGUGGGUGGCCACAUCUUGACUUGGUGACAAUCCUUAUCUUCUUGUCUGCCAAAAACGUCAUUGAUGACGUCAUAAUCUGAACAAACUUCAAUCAUGAAAGUUCUAGAGCAUUGUCUCAUCUUUCUAGGGUAAAAAUUCGAGAUCAUUUGGACUUCUAGAACUCGAGAUAUGGGCUGAACACUAAACAGUGUCUGGGCUGCAGGACAGAUUCAGACUUCUUUGUUGUUGCUGCAAUUUGGACUUGAAAACGGCCUUUUUAAAUCUUGGGCUCCACAUGAAAGUUGUAUGCCUAUGUCUUAUCUUUCCAUCCAUAUAAAAUGGACCUAAAUCCAAGAUCUACAACUCCAGAUAUGACCCGAUUACCGAACAGUGUUCAAGUUUGGACUGCACCAAUCAUCU
rnacentral:lncRNA from 1 species